CAGUAGCCGCGGUAAUACAGAGGGUGCAAGCGUUAAUCGGAAUUACUGGGCGUAAAGCGCGCGUAGGUGGUUUGUUAAGUUGGAUGUGAAAUCCCCGGGCUCAACCUGGGAACUGCAUCCAAAACUGGCAAGCUAGAGUAUGGUAGAGGGUGGUGGAAUUUCCUGUGUAGCGGUGAAAUGCGUAGAUAUAGGAAGGAACACCAGUGGCGAAGGCGACCACCUGGACUGAUACUGACACUGAGGUGCGAAAGCGUGGGGAGCAAACAGGAUUAGACCCCCGUAGUCCCUGUCUCUUAUACAA
rnacentral:rRNA from 1 species